AGAUCGGGUCCUGGUAGUACCAAAGUGCUCAUAGUGCAGGUAGUUGGGGCAUUACUCUACUGCAGCGUGGGCACUUAAGGUACUCUUGGAUAACG
ensembl:miRNA MIR20B microRNA 20b